AGAUGCGAUCAUACCAUCACCAAUGCACCAGAUCCCAUCAGAACUUCGCAGUUAAGCGUGCUUGGGCGAGAGUAGUACUAGCAUGAGUGACCUCCAGGAAAGUCCUCGUGUUUCAUCAC
rnacentral:rRNA from 1 species